AGAUGACAGAAUAAACCGAGUAAGAGCAAUAAAAAAUUAUGCUUCACAAAAUCAAAACUAAAAGACAGAGUCUUGCUGUGUUGCCCAGCUGGAAUGUAGUGGCGUGAUCUUGGCUCACUGCAACCUCUGCCUCCCGGGUUCAAGUGAUUCUCUUGCCUCAGCCUCCUGAGUAGCUGGGACUUCAGGCGUGUGCCACCAUGCCCGGCAGAUUUUUUGUAUUUUUGGUGGAGACAGGGUUUCACCGUGUUAGCCAGGAUGGUCUCGAUCUCCUGACCUUGUGAUCUGCCUGCCUCGGCCUCCUGAAGUGCUGGGAUUACAGGCGUGAGCCACUGAACCUGGCUGCUAAUUUUUCUUUUUAAAUAAAGUUUUUAAACAA